UUGGUGUUUAGUCUGCGGUUGUUACACCUUGAUGAGAACACUAGAAUUACCUUUAAAUGUUGAUCCUGGAUUUGACACGUUCGUCCGUCCCUCCUGUCUUACUGAUAACAUUGCCAAGUCCUUGCAACAUUUUUGAGUCUCACCACCUUCAACUGCAUGUGUUGAAAACUGUGUGACAGCAGGCUAAUAUCGUCUACAAAAUCCAGAUCUUCCAGCUUCUGGUACAGAGGAACACUGAGACACAGCACUGGAUGAAUUGAAUACCCAGCCAUCAUUGAGGAAUUCCACAGGAUGCACCUGGAAGUCCUACUCCUUCCUCUAGGGGGCACUGUCCUUCACAUCAGUGACAAACAACUGGAGACACUCCUGGAGUGGUAGGUAUUGUCACAAAC